rnacentral:rRNA from 1 species
UACGAAGGGGGCUAGCGUUGUCGUACGGAUCACUGGGCGUAAAGGGCGCGUAGGCGGCUUUGUAAGUACGGGGUGGGAAAGCCUGUGGCUCAACCACAGAAUUGCCUUCGAUACUGCAUGGCUUGAGACCGGAAGAGGUAAGUGGAACUGCGAGUGUAGAGGUGAAAUUCGUAGAUAUUCGCAAGAACACCAGUGGCGAAGGCGGCUUGACUGGUCCGGUUCUGACGCUGAGGCGCGAAAGCGUGGGGAGCAAACAGG